UUACUGUCUUCCCCAACUUUGGAUUCUUCGAAUCCUCCCAAAAUCAAACAAACAAGAACACAAAACCCACUAAAAAGGCUUCAAAUUGACCUAACAAUGGCGGAUCGGAGCUUGUUUACCGAACUAGAACACCGAGAGAGUCAUCUUGUUCGUCUGUGCAUCGAAGCCGCUACACAAAGCGUAUACCCCGUUGAGACGUGGCGGAGACAGCGACGAACUUUCGAACGGUUGCCGUCUCAGCUCGCCGAACCUCUGCUCCACCGCCUUUGCCACAGAUCUAUCAAGUUUUAGCUGUGAAGACAUGAGUCUCCUCUGUGUACCCAUAGUAGCCAAUUCACAAACAAGUAUUGAAACAAGCAAUCAAAUGUAGACGUUGAAGGAAACAAUCGAGUUCAAGAGACUUCAUCAAGAUUUAGUAAUUUUAGGGAUUAUUGUUUUCCACAGAUCUAUCAAGUUUUAAUAAUUUCAAGGUAAGAUAGUAAUUUUUACUUAAUUUGUGAUUUCUGAUUGUGGUGGAAGAUUAUCAUAGUGAAGGGAUUGUGACUGGAUCUUGAUGGUGGCGGGACUAUGGAGGUCAAUGGUGAAGGUGAUGGUGAUGAUGUCAGUGGUCGACAGUGUUUGUGGGCGGUGGUAUAGGUGGUGGUGGCCUGAUGAUGGUUGUAGAAGUUGUAUGUAGAGAGAGAGUACAAGGGAGAAAGACAGUACAAGGGAGAUUAUGAUGAUGAUGGUGGUUAUUUUGACAUUCUUUUUUUGUAUUAAAUGACUGUUUUGCCCUCACAUGGUAUAACAACCCUCGAAGAAUGCUCCUAAAA